UAAAACGUAGGUUCCGAGCGUUAUCCGGAUUUACUGGGCGUAAAGCGUGUUCAGGCGGCUCAGCAAGUCGGGCAUGAAAUCUCUCGGCUCAACCGGGAGGGGCUGUCCGAAACUGCUGGGCUUGAGGGCAGUAGAGGGUGGUGGAAUUCCGGGUGUAGUGGUGAAAUGCGUAGAUAUCCGGAGGAACACCAGUGGCGAAAGCGGCCACCUGGACUGUACCUGACGCUCAAACACGAAAGCUAGGGGAGCGAACGGGAUUAGAAACCCCGGUAGUCCUAGCCAUAAACGAUGUUGACUAGGUGUCAGCGGUCUAAACCCCGUUGGUGCCGGAGCAAACGCACUAAGUCAACCGCCUGGGGACUACGGCCGCAAGGUUA
rnacentral:rRNA from 1 species